AUUGAACGCUGGCGGCAUGCCUUACACAUGCAAGUCGAACGGUAACAGGUUAAGCUGACGAGUGGCGAACGGGUGAGUAAUGUAUCGGAACGUGCCCAGUCGUGGGGGAUAACUGCUCGAAAGAGCAGCUAAUACCGCAUACGACCUGAGGGUGAAAGCGGGGGAUCGCAAGACCUCGCGCGAUUGGAGCGGCCGAUAUCAGAUUAGGUAGUUGGUGAGGUAAAGGCUCACCAAGCCGACGAUCUGUAGCUGGUCUGGGAGGACGACCAGCCACACUGGGACUGAGACACGGCCCAGACUCCUACGGGAGGCAGCAGUGGGGAAUUUUGGACAAUGGGCGCAAGCCUGAUCCAGCCAUGCCGCGUGCGGGAAGAAGGCCUUCGGGUUGUAAACCGCUUUUGUCAGGGAAGAAAAGGUUCUGGCUAAUACCUGGGACUCAUGACGGUACCUGAAGAAUAAGCACCGGCUAACUACGUG
rnacentral:rRNA from 1 species